UCUGAACCUUGAGAAAGCUCGGCAGGAAGCAUAUGCAUCAGGACUUCUUGGUAAGAACGCUUGCGGGUCAGGCUAUGAUUUCGAUGUGCAUAUACAUUUUGGUGCUGGUGCGUACAUUUGUGGUGAAGAGACUGCCCUACUGGAGAGCCUUGAAGGCAAGCAGGGUAAACCAAGGCUGAAACCACCUUUCCCUGCCAAUGCUGGGCUGUAUGGCUGCCCCACAACUGUCACAAAUGUUGAAACUGUUGCUGUGUCUCCAACAAUUCUUAGGCGUGGCCCAGAAUGGUUUGCGAGUUUUGGACGCAAGAAUAACUCGGGAACAAAACUGUACUGUAUCUCAGGUCAUGUGAACAAACCUUGUACUGUUGAGGAGGAAAUGAGUAUACCUCUGAAGGAAUUAAUCGAGAAGCACUGCGGAGGUGUGAGAGGAGGAUGGGACAACCUGCUUGCAGUUAUCCCUGGCGGUUCGUCUGUUCCUCUUUUGCCAAAGCACAUAUGUGAUGACGUGUUGAUGGACUAUGAUGCACUAAAGGCUGUACAGUCCGGAUUAGGCACUGCAGCAGUUAUGGUGAUGGACAAAUCCACAGAUGUAGUUGAUGCGAUUGCUAGACUGUCAUACUUCUACAAGCAUGAGAGCUGUGGGCAGUGCACGCCUUGCCGUGAGGGUACAGGAUGGCUCUGGAUGAUCAUGGAGAGGCUCAAAGUGGGUAAUGCGAAGCUGGAAGAGAUUGAUAUGCUUCAGGAGGUCACGAAGCAGAUUGAAGGCCACACGAUCUGUGCCCUCGGGGAUGCUGCAGCAUGGCCUGUGCAGGGUCUUAUCAGGCACUUCAGACCUGAGUUGGAGAGGAGGAUCCGCGAUCGUGCUGAUAGGGAGCUGCUGAUGGCAGCUUCUGCAUAAGCACCACUUCUUGUUUGCUGAUUUUAUUCACAGAAAUAAUGCAAACUGGUGAAGCUCAUUUCUGC
rnacentral:lncRNA from 1 species